rnacentral:rRNA from 1 species
GACNCUGGCUCAGGAUGAACGCUAGCUACAGGCUUAACACAUGCAAGUCGAGGGGCAGCAUGGUCUUAGCUUGCUAAGGCCGAUGGCGACCGGCGCACGGGUGAGUAACACGUAUCCAACCUGCCGUCUACUCUUGGACAGCCUUCUGAAAGGAAGAUUAAUACAAGAUGGCAUCAUGAGUCCGCAUGUUCACAUGAUUAAAGGUAUUCCGGUAGACGAUGGGG